GACCUCGGAUCAGGUGGGGAUACCCGCUGAACUUAAGCAUAUCAAUAAGCGGAGGAAAAGAAACCAACAGGGAUUGCCCUAGUAACGGCGAGUGAAGCGGCAAUAGCUCAGAUUUGAAAUCUGGUCCUUUCAGGGCCCGAGUUGUAAUCUGUAGAGGAUGCUUCGGCGUCAGCCUCGGCCUAAGUUCCUUGGAACAGGACGUCACAGAGGGUGAGAAUCCCGUAUGUGGUCGGCUGCUUUCGCCUUGUGAAGCUCCUUCAACGAGUCGAGUUGNUUGGGAAUGCAGCUCUNAACCNGGAGGNAAANUUCNUCUAAGCUAAAUAUUGG
rnacentral:rRNA from 1 species